GACAGAGGCCCCAAGCGUUAGGCGGAAUCACUGGGCUUAAAGCGUGUGUAGGCGGACUUCUAAGUGCCUUGUGAAAUCCCACGGCUCAACCGUGGAACUGCUGGGCAUACUGGGAGUCUUGGGCCAUUCAGGGGGCAACUGGAACAAGCGGUGGAGCGGUGAAAAUGCGUAGAGUAUCGCUUGGAACGCCGAAGGUGAAAACAGGUUGCUGGGGAUGUGCCGACGUGAGACACGAAAGCCAGGGGAGCGAAACGGG
rnacentral:rRNA from 1 species